rnacentral:pre_miRNA from 1 species
AUAUAGUGUGACAUGCCCGUUUGGAAUUUACUCUGAUGUAUGAAUUAUUCACUAACUUUAAUUGAUUUUGGAUAAUGGGAUGUUACAAUGUU